AUACAGAGGGUGCGAGCGUUAAUCGGAUUUACUGGGCGUAAAGCGUGCGUAGGCGGCUUUUUAAGUCGGAUGUGAAAUCCCUGAGCUUAACUUAGGAAUUGCAUUCGAUACUGGGAAGCUAGAGUAUGGGAGAGGAUGGCAGAAUUCCAGGUGUAGCGGUGAAAUGCGUAGAGAUCUGGAGGAAUACCGAUGGCGAAGGCAGCCAUCCGGCCUAAUACUGACGCUGAGGUACGAAAGCAUGGGGAGC
rnacentral:rRNA from 1 species